UAUUACAGGUUUGAUAUAUUUAAUAUUUGACAGCAGUAUAAGAUACCUGGGAAAAUGAUCGAAGAUCAUUUUCAUGGCGCCCAUGAUUUGUUAGAUUUAUUUAUCUUGUUCGUCUUUAGCAAUUAUCCAUCUUCAUUCAGUUUCAGUACAUUAUUCUUAUUUUAUUAUUUCAUCUUUUAGUCAUCAUUACUAUCUAUAUAGAGCUACUGUUCUUCGACAGGCAUGCAAACGAGCCGUAUCCAUCCUUGAGUGUCAAGUUGCUCUCUUGCAUCUCUAGCUAGCCAACUCUAUUCAGUUUGCCUCUGUCUCUUCCCACUUCUACUUCUAUCCCUUCUCAUUCCCCUUUCUUCAGUACUACUGCAAAGUAGUAUUUAGUAUUUUUCCUAUUGCGGCUUCUCAACGUAGAAGCCACUUCACCCCUUCUUUACAGCCCAUCUCUCUACAUCUAUGUCCCAUUAGUUAUUUAUUUACUUUUUUCCUUACUUCUGUUGGAGUAUAUCUUGCUUUUUACUUUCACUCCAACAGAAGUUUUCUUCUUUUUGUUACACUGGCUGCCCAAUGCGUGGUGCCAACCGUUUUAUGGUUCUAAGACAGUAGUUCUUUUAGUUCAAUUUUCUUUUAUUGGAAUUUUCUGUUUUAUUAACUUUUUGAUAUCUUUGUAUAUAUGUUAUUUCUGAUUUAUUUUUGUCUUUAAUUUUUAUUAAUAAUAAACAGGUAGACUUAUACUGCUUCUUUUGGUUUUGGUUAGUUUAUUUUUGAUACCUCAUUUUCAGUUAUAGUGGUACAGCUCAUAUUUUAGUUUGAAUUUUGUAUUUUUAUUGGAAACUUAUUUAUGUAUUUAGAUUGAGUAUACAUAACUGACAUUAUGUUCUAUUAGUUAAAUUUUUAUUCCUUCUACCAAUGGUAGUACAUUUGCGCGUACAAUUAAUCGUUGAAUAUAUGUAUACAUUUUUUUCUAGUAUGGUUAUAUUUUAUACAUAACUAGAAAUCAUUUUCAGUAUUUAGGUAUUUUAUUUACUUUAUUGAUUUGAUUAUUUAUAUAUUUUGCUGGCAUUUUGAUUUGUUGGUGUGUCGCUAAUAUUUUCUCCAUAUGUAUCUUUGUCUUACAAACUUUAGAUUAUAUUUUAUAUUUGUUAUUUUUGAUAUUUGGGUUGUUUGGUAAGACAGGCACACACCACAAAGCAAUAUCAGUCCAGAACAUUAGCUUCUAUACAUGAUACGUUGAAUUCGCAUGGUUCGGAUGAUUACAGAUGGUCAUCCAAAUUAUUUUUCUUUAAUUGGUAGUGUUAAACAUUACAAUGAUAAAUUGUAUAGUUAAGUAGUUCCACUAUCCAUCUCAUAUUCCAGUUUUGUUAAAUUUUGGUAAUAAUAUUAUAUCAGUGUGGGUACCAUAAUAUAAUGCUUAUAUGAAUCAGAUACUUUAGGUUGAGAUUCAAAUAUAAAUUCUUUAUUAGUUAGGAAACAUUGAUACUACUUUUCUAUUAAGUUAUAGAACAAUCUUCAGAAGAAGAUUACCUUAACAGUGUUGUUCAAGCUAAUCUCUUCUUCUGUUUGUCUUUAGCUUAGCUCAAUCUUUAGUAUGGUUAUAACUUUUAGUCCAAUAUUGUUUUUUUAUCAUAUGAUAAUGCAGGUACCCACAUAAACUGCUUGAUUUCAUCUUUGGCUUAGUUUUGAUGACAUUUAUUUAUUACUUAUUAAUUUAAUUAUUAUGUAGUACUUUAUGUAUGAGUUUAUUUUUUUUAUUAUUAGGUAUGGUGCAUUUUAAUUAUUAUUAUGAGUCAAUAUUAUUAAUUGUUGAUCCUGUCAGUAGGAUUACACAAUUGAUAAUAACUUCACUUGUAUUUUUGUUCAGUUUUUGCACACCUAACCCCUAAGUUAGUAAGGUUGUUAACUUAUUAUAUAUUUAUAUAGUUGGAUAGGUAAGCUCAUACAAGUACUCUUGUUUAAUAAUGGAUAUUAUGAUGGAACUAUGUUAACUACCAUAUCUCAGGUUACGUGUUAUAUUAUUUUGAAUAUUUGAUUACUUACUAAUUUUUUUAUUAUUUUUGAUAUAUUGUUAUUGAAUUUGCCAUAUUGGAAAGAUGUGGUUUUUAAUUUGUUAUUGGGUUACUCUAUUAACAUUUGUCUCCAAUAUCUUAAACACUUAAUAAUAAUUUAUAUCCUUCUAUCCUACACACUAUGAUUCUGGAAUUAGUUUGGAAUGUUGAUGUAAGUAUGUAUGAAUUCUUGAGUCUUUCACAUUUCUGCUUAUGAUUAGUCUGUCAAUACUCUGAUUUGUGAAUGCGUGGGUUCGAAGUUGUUGCUCAGCAACUGAUCACUGCUGUUUGACUGGCUUCGUAAUCUUUGUCUUUCAUGGCAGAGUAGGCAGACGUUUUACCAUUAUAAUAUUUCUUGUUAGGAAAUGACGGUCGCAUGUCCUAACCAUUCUUCUGUAAUUAGUCCAAGUAUUCCAGUUUUUUUUUACAAUUUAAUAGGGAAGUAUUUAGUUCAUAUUAGGCCUUUUACUUCAUAGUAUGUUUGUACUUUGAGUUGAUGAGUAAACAUGGAUAAAUAUCUUGCGCACUUGUUUAUAAAUCAAUGCUUAGGCCAUCCCUAUACAUAGUAGGUUCGUUAAGUCAGUAUUUGGAGUGUUUAGACAGAUGAGUUGUUCAUUUGAGUAUAUUCCCACUUCUUUCCUUAAGCAUUAGUUUUGCUAUUCAGAUUCUGGAAUAUUUCCUGAAUAAUUCCACGUAUGUGAGAGCGCAUAAAUCUGCAGUUUUAAUUUAAACUUGUUGCUCGUUCUCGUCAAUUUUUUUUUCUUAUCACUUAUCCUAUUUUUUUUUCCUAUACCCUAUCACAUAUUUUUUUUGCCUAUCACUUAUCAUAGUGUCAUAGAACUUACGAGUUCAUCAUGUAUUCUUUUUCUUUCUUACUUAUUCUUACGUUAUUAGUACCUUAUCUGAGUCUGGUUAUUCUCAUACAUCUGUUGUAGCAACAUGCUAUAGUUCGCGAAUACCAGCACGAAUUAAGUUUAUGUAGUUUCUAUAAUAUCUUAGUCAAUACACUUUAGGUAUUUAUCUUACUUUUGAUUUAGUCAGGUUACAUCUCUGUUACUUAGUCUGUUAGCAAUGUUUAUUCUGACUUAUUUGGAUUACUUAGUUUAGAUAGGUUCAUAUUACCGGAUGAGGGUGUAUGUAGACCUAAUUUAUUUAUUUUGUUCAGUAUUAGUUACCAUUGGAUCCAAUAAUUUAGUUUAUUUAGUAUUAGUAAGAAUUGGUCCAUAAAUUUGCCUGAUCGUUCUUCUUUGGAUAUACUCCUAUAUAAAUCUGGUGUCCAUUGAUAGUCCGAUUCUGGAUAAGUGUCUGAUUCUUCAUUUAUUUUGUGUAUUUGGUUGGAUAGGUCCGUAUUACCGGAUGUGGGUGUACGUAGACCUGAUCUGUUUAUGUGGAUUAGUAUUGGUGUGAAUUGGUCCAUAAAUUCGCCUGGUCGUUCUUCUUUGGAUAUGCCUUUUAUGAAUCUGGUGUCCACUGAUAGUUCGACUUUGGAUUACGUGUCCGAUUCCACAUUUAUUUUGGUUAUUGAGUUUUGGAUUCCUUUGGUAUGUUUAUUAUUGGUAUUAUUUGGCAUUAGUGAGAGUUGUUCCAUAAAUCUUCCUGAUUGUUCUUCUCUGGAUAUACUAUUAUGAAUCUGGUGUCCAUUGUUAGUUCAAUUUUGGAUUAAGUGUUCAAUUCUUUACUUAUUUUAGUUACUGAUUUUUUUUAUUCACUUUGGUACAUUUACUUUUGAUAUGGUUCGAAUUGGCUCACACCUUUCCUGGUUGUUCCGUCCUUGGAUAUAUCCUUUAUAAAUCUGAUGUCCAUGGAUAGCUCAAUUUUGGUUUUAGUGCCCAAUUCGACACUUAGUUAUUAUUAUGAACUUUAGUACAAUAUUUAGUUUUGUUUUGAUUUUUAAGCAAUAUUAUGUUAAUAUUUGGUAGCAGAGAGUAACAUAGUAACAUUUUAGUAUGAGUUUGAGUCAUGUAUUGAUUUAUUUUUCCUGAUCAUCAGUUCAUUCUUAUUGGUAACCUUGCGAAUAAACGUGGAUUGUUAGACUAUUGUAAAUUUAGUUGUUAAUAUUUUGAAGUUUAAAAAAAAAAAAAAAUUUUUUUGGUUAAAAAAUUUUUUUUCCCGAGUAGGAGGGGAUUGUAACGGUCCACCCGUUAUAUUAUCAUUUUUAGCGCUGUAAUUAUUUUUAAAAAAAUAAUUAUUUUCUCUUGACCUCCCAUUUAAAUUCUUUAAUUUAUCGUAAAGGACUUCUCAUGUGACGUCACACUGUACGGAACAUAGUUGUUGAACCGUUCCUUGUCGUUUAAUUCGUGUUCCGUGAGAGUUUGACGUUUUCCUCGCUGACUGUGGGAGGAAUGAGAGGCACUUGGCCGGUGGCUGCGAGGUUGACAGGUUGGUGUUGGUGGUUAGUACCGUAAAUGGCGGUUAAUUUCUUCGAAAUUAAUUUUUAUUUCAACUAAGUUUGGAAGUAUAGUAAAAAGUUACCACCACUUGUUUCCUGGAGUACGGGUUUCCUGGAGUAAGGAUGGGAGUACCAUCAGUGGAAGAGGAAUAAAAAAUUAACCGCCAUUUGGAAGAAAACUAACCCUCAUGUGAUGUCGUACCCACCUUGACUACCUAGGGAAGCCACCUUGACCUUAUUGCAGCUACCGCCAAGUCAAACUGGGAGUAUGUUUUGGGAACAAGCUUUUUGGGGGACAUUCCAGCUCCUUUUCGUCCUGCCACCUGGGCCUACGGGGGGCAUGGAGGUGCAUCAUAGUGAUGCUCAUUUUCUAGGAUGCAACCGCAACCUCGUUUGGGAACAUUUAGUGAGGAGUUUUAGUAACUAUUGGUUUUUUUUUAUAUUUCAGACUAUCUGUUAAAUACACUAUGUUUUUUUUCCAGAUUUAGGUUACCUCUGUUUUUUUUUGACAUAUGUAUUUGUAUAUUAGAUUAUUUGGUUCCCAAACUUUGUAUCUACGGUAACUUCUUGUGCACAGGAAUAAGCCUAGAGAAAAUUAGGUUUUUAAUACUUUAUUAUUGCUUUGAUAUUGGUUUAUGUAAUUCGGGUAAAUUUAUUUUGUAACAUUACUUGCUUGUUUCCCAAAUAUUGUAUUUAUUCGCUUUAUUUCGUUUGUUCGGUUACUUCGUCGUUACUUUAUUUCAUUGCAUUUGCUCAGUUAAUUUAGGUCAUUUUGUCGGUAUUUUUCUUAACUUCACUUCUAUAACGUUUAUUCAUUUGUAUAUUUAAUUUUGCUUUAUUCAGUAUUGUAUUUUCUCUUAGUGAGGCUUGGGCCUAUUUAUUUGUAUUAUUUUCAUCUUCGUCGGUUUCCUUUAGUUGUACGUAGUGGGCGUACUAUAACCAUUUGGUAGAAGAUUUAUGUAAUUUUGUACCCUAUAUGUUAGUAAGAGGUACUUAUAUUUAAGUUUGUAACAGAUAACAUUAUUGUUGUUAUCUUUAAAAUAUAUAUAUAUCUUCUUGUAUAACUUAUGUCAUUUUAGAGUCACAGCAUAAUAUGAACUUGCUUAACUCAGAGAUUGUUAAAAAUCUGGUAGUUAUUUUUAAUAAAUAUGUUUAUUUAUUUUGUA